AUGCAAGUUGAAGAAGGAUUGGCCGGUGCUGCCAGCUGGCGUCAAGUUCGAUCCCACGGUCAGGAGCUGAUCGAGCACCUUGAGGCCAAAGUGAGUGCUGACAGCGCGAGAUUUCAGUCUCUCAUCGAUUUGUUCAUACCAACCAUAGACAACGAGCACGGCAUAUGCUACACCCAACCUGAGAAACUUCCAGCGCAAUUCCAGGGCGUUCAAAAGGGGCAUGUGGACGCGUCGCAAGAUACAGUCGAAGUGCGGCAUGCACGCGAUGUGGCACAAGACCGGCAAUACCUUGCCAGUGAUGGUCAACGGCCGGCAGACGGGCAGCAAAAAAAGGUUCUGGUGCUGCACACCAACAAGAACUUCGACCAGCAGAGGACCAACUGGGUGAUGCACCAGUACCACCUCGGGGACCUGGAGCAAGAGAAGGAGCGGGAGCUGGUCCUCUUCAAAAUUUUCUACCAGACGAACACUAGGGCCAGGAGUAAAAAGAUUAUAAGUUAG
rnacentral:rRNA from 1 species